rnacentral:rRNA from 1 species
CCUACGGGUGGCAGCAGUGGGGAAUAUUGGACAAUGGGCGAAAGCCUGAUCCAGCCAUGCCGCGUGUGUGAAGAAGGCCUUCGGGUUGUAAAGCACUUUCAGUGGGGAAGAAAGCCUUGGGGCUAAUACCCUCGAGGAAGGACAUCACCCACAGAAGAAGCACCGGCUAACUCCGUGCCAGCAGCCGCGGUAAUACGGAGGGUGCGAGCGUUAAUCGGAAUUACUGGGCGUAAAGCGCGCGUAGGCGGUCUGAUAAGCCGGUUGUGAAAGCCCCGGGCUCAACCUGGGAACGGCAUCCGGAACUGUCAGGCUAGAGUGCAGGAGAGGAAAGUAGAAUUCCCGGUGUAGCGGUGAAAUGCGUAGAGAUCGGGAGGAAUACCAGUGGCGAAGGCGGCCUUCUGGACUGACACUGACGCUGAGGUGCGAAAGCGUGGGUAGCAAACAGGAUUAGAUCCCCCAGUAGUC